UACGAAGGGGGCUAGCGUUGUUCGGAAUCACUGGGCGUAAAGCGCACGUAGGCGGAUCUUUAAGUCAGAGGUGAAAUCCCAAGGCUCAACCUUGGAACUGCCUUUGAUACUGGGGAUCUUGAGUCCGGGAGAGGUGAGUGGAACUGCGAGUGUAGAGGUGAAAUUCGUAGAUAUUCGGAAGAACACCAGUGGCGAAGGCGACUCACUGGCCCGAUACUGACGCUGAGGCGCGAAAGCGUGGGGAGCAAACAGG
rnacentral:rRNA from 1 species